UUACGGCCACAUCACUUCGAAACACCACUUCCUGUGCAGUCACCAAAGUUAAGCAACAUUGAGCUCGGUCAGUACCUAGAUGGGUGACCACUUGGGAAUACCAGGGGCU